rnacentral:lncRNA from 1 species
AUAGGAUAAUAUACACAAUUGAAGAAUAAAAUUUCUUCCUUCUCUCUAUCUACAUUUCUUGUUCAUGUUUUACUAAGUUGCUUAUAUUUUUUGUUCAUGUUUUACUAAAUUACUUUUAUUUUAUAAAAGAUGACGAGAAAAAAUGUUUUAUUAUAACUUAAAAACACGCUAAGUACUUUGUGGCAAAACCUUUAUAUCAUAAAUCCAGAAAUAAAUUUACUAAAUUUAAAAAUCAAAAAUAGAACAACAAUAACAACGAGAAGAAAUAUUAUUAGAAAUCCUCAAACAAGGGUGUGUUUGGAUAACAGGGAAAUUUAAAAAGGAAAUUAAGAUCUAGACUACCAAUUAAAUAUCUCUACCUCUUGGAGGUGGAGGUGGAGGUGGAGAUAGAAGAAGAGGAGCGAGGUAUCUAGUGAAAAACAGCCGCAAGCUUGGUAAUAUGCGAAGAGGAUUAUAUGUUGUCGUUCGACGGAUAAAAUCCUCUAUUGAUUCGACGAACAAAUUCAAGCUCCUUAUCGGCGGCACAUAUAGUGUCAGCGGCGCCGCCGAGAACGCCACAGCGAAGAACACCUCUAACAUUCCUUUAAACCGCCGUCAACAACCACCGUAAAGUCAACACGGCCGUUGAUUUUGGCACUCCGGCGAAGAAUUUUUUAAAGGGAAUCUUAUAUUUUCUUUCUGAGUUUGACUAGAUAGUUCUACAUAUAUAGAUUUUGCAAGGGGGAAGGGGUAAAUAUGUAUUUUUGUGAAAAGAGGGACAGAUUUUGUAGAAUAUUAUUCAUAGAAAGGUAAUAUUGGAGAAAUAGAGAGGAAAUUUCCUAAAUGACAACUCAUUGAAUUUGGACAUUUUACAAGGGGAAACAAGAUUUGCAUAUCCAGUAAAGAAAAAAUAUUUUGAGUUAAUAGAAUUAGAGGUUUAGC